rnacentral:rRNA from 1 species
UACAGAGGGGGCAAGCGUUGUUCGGAAUUACUGGGCGUAAAGGGCGCGUAGGCGGCCUUCUAAGUCGAACGUGAAAUCCCUGGGCUCAACCCAGGAACUGCGUCCGAUACUGGAAGGCUUGAAUCCGGGAGAGGGAUGCGGAAUUCCAGGUGUAGCGGUGAAAUGCGUAGAUAUCUGGAGGAACACCGGUGGCGAAGGCGGCCCGCUGGGCAGUAGCUGACGCUGAGGCGCGACAGCGUGGGGAGCAAACAGG